AAAGUCUGACCUGCCCAAUGAAUAUAUGAAUAUUUAAAUGGCUGCGGUAUUUUGACCGUACAAAGGUAGCAUAAUAAUUAGUUUUUUAAUUGAGAACUGGAAUGAAAGGUCGAACGAGAAAAAUACUGUCUCAAUUUAAUUUUAAUUUGAAUUUUAUAUUUAAGUAAAAAAGCUUAAAUAAUCUUAAAAGACGAGAAGACCCUAUAGAGUUUUAUAUUAUUUAUUAUUUAUUGAAUUAAAGUAUAUUAUUUUAGGAUAAUUUAGUGAUAUUUGAUUGGGGCGAUUAAAAAAUUUAAAUAACUUUUUUUAUAUUAUUACAUUGAUAUAUGAAUAAUUGAUCCA
rnacentral:rRNA from 1 species